rnacentral:rRNA from 1 species
CGGGUGACAGGGAGACGAGGUGGUGCAUGGUUGUCGUCAGCUCGUGUCGUGAGAUGUUGGGUUAAGCCCGCAACGAGCGCAACCCUACGUUUAGUUGCUAACAGGUGAAGCUGAGCACUCUAGACGAACUGCCGUUGACAAAACGGAGGAAGGUGGGAUGACGUCAAAUCAUCAUGCCCCUUAUGUUCUGGGCUACACACGUGCUACAAUGGCCGGUACAGACGGAGGCGAAGCCGCGAGGCGGAGCAAAUCCGAAAAAGCCGGUCUCAGUUCGGAUUGCAGGCUGCAAUUCGCCUGCAUGAAGUCGGAAUCGCUAGUAAUCGCAGGUCAGCAUACUGCGGUGAAUACGUUCCCGGGCCUU